UCAUACUAGCCGGGGAGUUAGCGGUGCCCUGUAUCUACAACCCGCUUUAGUAGAGGUGAUGUCAAAUUUAAGGGAAGUUCUAGUAUCAACGUCUUAUUUCAAAAGUGUUGAGAAAAUAGUCCUGUAUUGUAGAGAGUUAGCGAAAUGUGUCAGGUCGGGAACGAAGCAGCACUAAGUUAGUUUCUCUAGGUUUACAGGGUAGCUGUUUUUGAGCUUUUGGAUUAAGAAACGGAUGGUAGAAUGUUUUCGAGAAUUUGAUGUAUGA
rfam:Leptotrichia hofstadii F0254 genomic scaffold Scfld0, whole genome shotgun sequence.